GUUUUCUUUGCUCAGUGGUUGAGCGCGUGGAUUUUAACUACGUGGUCAUGGGUUCGGUCCCAUAGACGAUG
rnacentral:tRNA from 1 species